GUUACAAAUCUGGCUGUCGAGAUGCCUAAAAAGCAUUUCAUAGCAAGGGCCGGGCAAGACCGGUGCCAGCCGCCGCGGUAACACCGGCGGCUCGAGUGGUAACCGUUAUUAUUGGGUCUAAAGGGUCUGUAGCCGGCCGGAUAAGUCUCUUGAGAAAUCUGGCAGCUUAACUGUCAGGCUUUCAGGAGAUACUGUCUGGCUCGAGGCCGGGAGAGGUGAGAGGUACUUCAGGGGUAGGGGUGAAAUCUUGUAAUCCUUGAAGGACCACCAGUGGCGAAGGCGUCUCACCAGAACGGACCUGACGGCAAGGGACGAAAGCUAGGGGCACGAACCGGAUUAGAUACCCGGGUAGUCCUAGCCGUAAACGAUACUCGCUAGGUGUCGGCCACGGUGCGACCGUUGUCGGUGCCGUAGGGAAGCCGUGAAGCGAG
rnacentral:rRNA from 1 species